GAACGGUUUUCGCGGCCCUUUGUAAAACCCGCCUGCUCUUUCGGUACAACUGGUGUAACAGAGGUUUGCGGAGAGAUAAAAAGUCGAAUUAGGGUGCACCAAUAACGACCUAAUUUCCACGUCAAAACGAAAUAAAACCCAUAAAGUAGGAGGGUUAGACUGGAACGAGGAAUCUGUGUUGAAUAGUUGGGUUUUGUGGUGUUUUUUUGUAAACAACUCGAGGCACGGAGAGCGCGAUCUCUUUUUGCUGAUUGUUGCAUAAUUUUCUAUUGUUUUGACUCGAGCGUUUAUCUCUCUUUCUGUCAAGAGCUCGACAAUGGGUCGAAGACAUUAGUCCGGGCAUUCAUCAACAGUACAGACCUCGAAAGAAAGUUUUUAUGAGACAGGCUUGGACACGUUUGGAAUUGUUGACUAUAUCGGAACGAUAUGUCAUACUGGAAGUGAGUCCCCAAGGCCGUGGUGCAUGAAUCAAGACAAUCAAAACAUCACACAAGCACGGCGCGCAUAAAGCGCCGGCGAAAGAGAGAGCGGUAGCGUUUGGAUGUUCCAGCGAGACUUGUGAAUCGCUUGGCGCUCAACAAAAGACGAAGGAAAUAGGAGCGUGGGUUACACCAAGGAAAGGGAGAAAUCUGAGCGCAACCUGUACGAGGUAUCAGGGAAUGACAGAUGGAUUUCAAUGGGCAAUUACAAGAUGGCAAAGCUGAAAGUUCAACUGAUAUGACAGAUGUCGAGCAUGUUUGGGAAAGUUUUGAGGAGGAAAUUGAGAGCGAAGCAGCUACGGGAAACAACAAUGAGAUCCGAGAAAUCGGAAGGACUCUAGCGAUACUGGGAGAUUGGUUAGAUGCCUCGCUAGUAAGCGGACGGCCAGGGGAACUGUACUUGAACGGGCGACCCGAGUUAACAAUUGGAAGGAGUUUAGCACGGAUUGGGGAUAACUUACAAGAGACUUAUAUGUAUAAUUACCACCGUGAUAGAGAAAACUUUUUUCUAGGGCAAAUCCACAGACAUUCUCUAUGUAGCAAGCAUUACGUAUUAUUUGUUGGUGCCGUUUUCUUUGCGAUGGUAAUUAAUGUCUAAGGGAACAGACAAUGAGUAAUUCGUGUGGGGAAUCCCCAGUUCUCAAAAAAUACAAUUGUUUAUGCGUUACCGUUAGGAAACAUGGAAACAUUGAGCUCCAAACUGCUGAGAUUGUAAAUAUGUAGAAAGAGUUAUAUAAUAGACAGAAAAUGGAUAUUGUUUACUUUAUAAACAAGACGUUAUAGAAGAAAUGCAAGUUAUUAUAUUGUGAUUAUAUUAAGCGAUCAUAAUGACAAAAUAUCAAGUACUUUUGUCAUUUUCGAACACGCGAAAUGAAUAAUUUAACGUGAAUCUCCGAACUCGACGUCCAAAACAAUCCAUUAAAUGUUAUUUUUGUAUUUAUUUUGCUAUUUCCGGCGUUGUAUAAUGGAAAGAUACUGUCUCUUAGAGGGUCGUGGGAAUGAUAUUUUUAAUCCUUUAACAAAGAGCGACCCGCUGACCUGGCAUUAGAGAGUUGUCAAAAUUUUUGAAAGCUUUCUCUCUGGCGUUGUGACGACAAACAAUGGAUUCAUGUAUACAAGCAAAACAAAGUCGCAACACAGCAGAAUAAACAAUUAGAACCAGGCUUAA